rnacentral:tRNA from 1 species
AGGCGAGUAGUUCAGUUGGUAGAACACGCGUCUCCAAAACGCGAAAUCGCUGGUUCGAUUCCAGCCUCGCCUG